rnacentral:rRNA from 1 species
CUGUAAGUCCACGCGGUAACCGAUGAAUGCUAGGUGUGGCGGGCAAAGCCCGUCGGUNGCNCCGCAAACGCAUUAAGCAUUCCACUGGGGGAGUACGUUCGCAAGAAUGAAACUCAAAGGAAUUGACGGGGACCCGCACAAGCGGUGGAGUAUGUGGUUUAAUUCGAAGCAACGCGAAGAACCUUACCAAGUCUUGACAUCNCAAUGAAUGUCUGGUAAAGCAGACAGGCCUUCGGGACAUUGGAGACAGGUGGUGCAUGGUUGUCGUCAGCUCGUGUCGUGAGAUGUUGGGUUAAGUCCCGCAACGAGCGCAACCCUUAUCCUUAGUAGCCAGCGAGUGAAGUCGGGCACUCUAGGGAGACUGCCAGGGAGAACCUGGAGGAAGGUGGGGAUGACGUCAAAUCAUCAUGCCCCUUAUGAUUUGGGCUACACACGUGCUACAAUGGCGUAAACAAAGGGAAGCGAAGUGGCGACAUGGAGCGAACCCCAAAAAUAACGUCUCAGUUCGGAUUGUAGUCUGCAACUCGACUACAUGAAGCUGGAAUCGCUAGUAAUCGCGGAUCAGAAUGCCGCGGUGAAUACGUUCCCGGGUCUUGUACACACCGCCCGUCACACCAUGGGAGUCAGUAACGCCCGAAGUCAGUGACCCAACCUAAGGGAGGGAGCUGCCGAAGGCGGGACGGAUAACUGGGGUGAAGUCGUAACAAGG